rnacentral:rRNA from 1 species
GACGAACGCUGGCGGCGUGCUUAACACAUGCAAGUCGAACGGAAAGGCCCCUUUGGGGGUACUCGAGUGGCGCACGGGUGAGUAACACGUGAGUAACCUGCCCUUGACUUCGGGAUAACUUCAGGAAACUGGGGCUAAUACCGGAUAGGAAUCCUUGCUGCAUGGUGGGGGUUGGAAAGCUUCGGCGGUUUUGGAUGGACUCGCGGCUUAUCAGCUUGUUGGUGGGGUAGUGGCUUACCAAGGCUUUGACGGGUAGCCGGCCUGAGAGGGCGACCGGCCACAUUGGGACUGAGAGACGGCCCAGACUCCGACGGGAGGCAGCAGUGGGGAAUAUUGCACAAUGGGCGGAAGCCUGAUGCAGCAACGCCGCGGGCGGGAUGACGGCCUUCGGGUUGUAAACCGCUUUCAGCAGGGGCGAAGCUUGUGGUGACGGUACCUGCAGAAGAAGCACCGGCUAACUACGUG